GACGAACGCUGGCGGCGUGCUUAACACAUGCAAGUCGAACGAAGUGGCGAACGGGUGAGUAACGCGUAAACAACCUGCCCUUCAGAGGGGGACAACAGGUGGAAACGACUGAUAAUACCGCAUACUGAAGGAGGGGAUUGCGGCUGAUUAGCUAGUUGGAGGGGGAACGGCCCACCAGGGCGAUGAUCAGUAGCCGGUCUGCGAGGAUGAACGGCCACAUUGGGACUGAGACACGGCCCAGACUCCUACGGGAGGCAGCGGUGGGGAAGCUUCCGCAAUGGCCGAAAGUCUGACGGAGCAACGCCGCGUGAGUGAUGACGGCCUUCGGGUUGUAAGGCUCUGUUAAUCGGUACGCGGUACCGGAAUAGAAAGCCACGGCUAACUACGUGCCAGCAGCCGCGGUAAUUC
rnacentral:rRNA from 1 species